GUUAUCGUUUAUUUGAUAGUGCCUUACUACUUGGAUAACCGUGGUAAUUCUAGAGCUAAUACAUGCUGAAAAUCCCGACUUCGGAAGGGAUGUGUUUAUUAGAUUAAAAACCAAUGCCCUCUGGGCUCCUUGGUGAUUCAUGAUAACUGUUCGAAUCGCAUGGCCUUGCGCCGGCGAUGGUUCAUUCAAAUUUCUUCCCUAUCAACUUUCGAUGUUUGGGUAUUGGCCAAACAUGGUCGCAACGGGUAACGGAGGGUUAGGGCUCGACCCCGGAGAAGGAGCCUGAGAAACGGCUACUACAUCCAAGGAAGGCAGCAGGCGCGCAAAUUACCCAAUCCCGAUCCGGGGAGGUAGUGACAAUAAAUACUGAUACAGGGCUCUUUUGGGUCUUGUAAUUGGAAUGAGUACAAUUUAAAUCCCUUAACGAGGAACAAUUGGAGGGCAAGUCUGGUGCCAGCAGCCGCGGUAAUUCCAGCUCCAAUAGCGUAUAUUAAAGUUGUUGUGGUUAAAAAGCUCGUAGUUGAACCUUGGGCCUGGCUGGCCGGUCCGCCUCACCGCGUGCACUGGUCCGGCCGGGCCUUUCCCUCUGCGGAACCCCAUGCCCUUCACUGGGUGUGGCGGGGAAGCAGGACUUUUACUUUGAAAAAAUUAGAGUGCUUCAGGCAGGCCUAUGCUCGAAUACAUUAGCAUGGAAUAAUGAAAUAGGACGCGCGGUUCUAUUUUGUUGGUUUCUGGGACCGCCGUAAUGGUUAAUAGGGACAGUCGGGGGCAUCAGUAUUCAAUCGUUAGAGGUGAAAUUCUUGGAUCGAUUGAAGACUAACUACUGCGAAAGCAUUUGCCAAGGAUGUUUUCAUUAAUCAGGAACGAAAGUUAGGGGAUCGAAGACGAUCAGAUACCGUCGUAGUCUUAACCAUAAACUAUGCCGACUAGGGAUCGGACGACGUUAAUUUUUGACGCGUUCGGCACCUUACGAGAAAUCAAA
rnacentral:rRNA from 1 species